GAUAGCCUAGUAUGUAUUAUUUGUAUUAUAGUUUUAAUAAUUUAUAUUAAUCUACAUUAUUAUAUAUAUUAUUCGAAAUAUAUUCACAUUUGCAGAGAAGAACGAACCCAACACUGAACACGGUGUAAGAGUCUGAGAAUGAAGUCACUUACGAACUGGAUCCGACAACUGGUGAAUUAGUACUUAUACAGUCGAACCUACCUCAGGCAGAUCCGUCGUGUUCCACGGAAGUUGGAAAAAGAAGUCAUGGGGAUAGGACCUCGCCUGAGCCAGUACCAAAGAAGAUAAAAAAAAAUAUGACAGCCUACGAAGCAGCCAUGCUCGAAUUGCAAAUGAAAAAAAUGGAUGAAACGUUGCGUUAUAUGGAAGAAAAGCACAAGUUAGAAAUACAAAUUAUGAAGCAGGAACACGAUCUUAGAAUGGAAAUUUUGAAGGAACAGUUAGGGAAAGAAAGAUUUUUGUAAGGAUCAGAAGAAAAGAAAAAUUGAGUUUUGCAAUUGGAUCAUGGCUGGUUUGUAAGGAAUUGCUGCGAGUUUCCAUAGUCGAUGCAUCUGUAAUAUCUUUCCUAACUCACUUAAUUCCCAGUCACUGCUACUUUCUUCGUUAGAUCUAUUCUUUUAUUUCUUUUGUUUUUUUGCAAUCUAGCAUUAUUCGUUUUAUUCUCUACUAGAUCACAAUUGUCGCUUACAAAUUGUACAUAUGAUUUUUCUUUGACAAAAAACUUUAGUAAAUAUUUUUUCCUAUGAUUAAUAAAAACUUUUUAUUUUUUUUUA